CGAGCGGCGGACGGGUGAGUAAUGUCUGGGAAACUGCCUGAUGGAGGGGGAUAACUACUGGAAACGGUAGCUAAUACCGCAUAACGUCGCAAGACCAAAGAGGGGGACCUUCGGGCCUCUUGCCAUCAGAUGUGCCCAGAUGGGAUUAGCUAGUAGGUGGGGUAACGGCUCACCUAGGCGACGAUCCCUAGCUGGUCUGAGAGGAUGACCAGCCACACUGGAACUGAGACACGGUCCAGACUCCUACGGGAGGCAGCAGUGGGGAAUAUUGCACAAUGGGCGCAAGCCUGAUGCAGCCAUGCCGCGUGUAUGAAGAAGGCCUUCGGGUUGUAAAGUACUUUCAGC
rnacentral:rRNA from 1 species